rnacentral:lncRNA from 1 species
UAAGUGCCAAAACGGGACCGUUUUGGUUAAAAUUAUUUAUUUAUUCUUUCAGCGACAAGAACAUCGAAGGAGAUCGAUGAGAUUUACUGUGAUUCGGCUGGAAAGGAGGAAGAAGAGGACGAGGCAGAGCUGAUCUCGACGAGUGAGUGAGAUUGAGGGUGAGGGAGAGAAAGGUUGAAGAAAGGAGACUCUUAUUUUCUCUUUGGGUGUUCUGGAGAUGAGAUAAAAAGAGAAAUGGCGAGGGGGAAUAGGAAGGGAAUGAACAGAAAGAACGAGGGAGAAAACAGAAAGAACGAGAGAGAAAACAGAGGGAGGGGCGAAGGGAGAGAGUUUCGAAAAUAGAAGUGAAAAAGUAGAGCGAAGAGGAAGAACUUAGCGGUUAAGGAGGAAUUCGGGUGAAGAGGAUUCCCUUGUCUCUCAUUUCCUCCGGGGAUCUUCGAGCUUUUGGGGAGACCGAAAAGCUAGAGCGAGGACGGUGAGAGGAAGCAGGUCUGAGUAAGGAGAUUGAAAGAAAAAAAAGGAGAGAACAGAGGGAAACAAGAGAGAAAAUUAAAGUUUUCGGGCCAUGGAGUCGGGCUUCAAGGGGUGAGAUCUCGUCUUACUUUUGAGCUGUAAAUUUUCAUGAUGAGAUUAAUGAAAGUGGUGACUGCUUUGCUUGCUUGAUCUAAGUUAGUUUAUGAUCUGCAACUCCCCCCUACUACAUGUUUGCCAUUUGUUAAUUCUUAAUUAAAGCUUGAUGUUUAUUAUAUGCUUGGACGUGUUUUUGUUUUUCUUUGAAUUGCUUUUUUGUAUUCCUUCCAGUGACAAAAUGUCUUUCCAGUCUCACUGAUGAAAUCUGCCUUGUGCUUGUCCAAAAUUUGUAUAAUUCUAGAUGGGGCAAAUUGCAUUUUACUGAAAAAGAAAACUUUUACUUUGCAGAAUAAUAUAGAGUUUGCUGUCUAUUUUUUAUUUCUAAAAUUGAUAGAAAUAUUUAAUGUAAAAAUUACAUAACCAAUAGAAAAAAAAAGAUCAAAAGUAUUAAUUUUAUAUUUCUUUGUCUUCUCAGUCAUGAGUGGAUAUAUUUUGAAUUUCAGUGAUAUAUAUCAGUUUAUAGAUUAUUAGGUGAACUAAAAUAGAAUAUAAUUACUUUUGUGUAGCUACAAGACUAAAAAAAUGUAAAUUAAUUCUUAUUUUGAUUCAUUGAAAGUUAAAUAAAUUAGUUAUGGAAAUGCAAUAUUUGUUAUAAUAGCAAACCCUGAGGAGUAAAUUUUCCAAUUAAAGAACAGCAGUUUUGGUUACAAAUGUAAUAUAGUACUGAGAGUUUUGGUAACUUCCAUAAAUAUUUUAAGCAGACAGAAAAAAGUAAUUGAAUGUAACAUUGUCUUUCGGUACCUACAGUGAUGCUUUGGCCAAAUGUUUGUCCAUGACGCUUUCCUCCGUCAUUAGGGGCUUUGAUUCUCAAGCUCAAAAAACUCUUGAUAGCCAAGAUCAGCUUGCCUUUGCCAUUGAUCGCCUCACCCGCGGUAAUGAUAUCAUCUCCUUCCUCAGACUUUUACGGAGCUUUUUUCUUAGCAUAUGUGUCCAGAUAAUUAAUUCAUGAUUUUCCACCUUCUUCAUUUGAACUACUUGGUAAAAGUCCUUUUUAUGUAUUGGGUCUUCUUGCAUCUUUGUUCUUAUGAAUGUGACUUGUAGCCCUUUAGGUAAGUUUCCUGAAAUUUCUAGUUUUUGAACUGA